ACACGAUCCUCAUCCAUCCAAAUCACCCCAUUUUUCUUUAAAACCACAGCCACUUUCACCAUUCUCACACCACCAUUUUCAAUUCCUGCAGCAAGUUCACACAGCAACUACACCACCAGACCAAGGUCCAGACGGGAAGUGAAAGCUAAAGAAGGAGGUAACUCUACGCCCCUAGUGGGAACGGAAUGAGGUUGAGCGGGUGAUGGAAUGGAGUGGAGUUGAGCGGAUGUACCUUUUGACAUAAAAUAGUAAUGUAACCUUGAGUAUACAUCUUCAUAUGUAUAACUCACACGUAUUUCCGCUGCAAGAUACUCUGAUUAUGCUAAUGUUUUAUUUUAAGUAUGAUACUCUUUUGUUGGGUAA